CGGCAUGGCGGAGUGGAUAACGCUUAGGACUAGUAAUCUUGUGAUCGCUAGCUGCAUGGGUUCAAACCCUGACAGGUGCAAGUCGUUGUUUUGUUGAGCAAGAAACUUUACACUCAUUGCUCAGUACUGGUUGGUUCAAGGAAAGGUUUCGAAAGUGUGUUUAUAAGCUAAUAUAACACAAUCGAACUAAAAUAAAUUCUGUAUAAACCAAUGACAUCCAUUUAUUUACUUUUGGAAUGAACUACAUAAUUUUAAGAUAAGGAGACUUCAAACACACUGGGACCUCACGACGAAUUUGUCGGUUUUUACAUAAUGAAAGAUAAAUGUGUAGGAGCAGACGACAACAUAUACAGAUAUGGUUACCAAUAAAAACGCUGUAUUCUACUUUCAUUUUUAUUGUUUUAUCGGAUUUGUUCUGUUUUAUUCUACCAUACAAGCGGCGAUUUCAACGUGUGUGGAUUUAAGUCCAGACUGUUCGCUCUAUGGCGGGGAUAAAAUUUGCCAUGGAAGCUUUGUGCCAUGGUCAAGCGUUUAUUGUAAACAGACGUGUCAUUUUUGUGCUACGGAUUUGCCAUCUACUGCGUUGUCAUCUACAACGGACGGAACGGCAAACGACGACACAUUCUAACAACGUAUACACACAGCCGCC